UUGUUGUGUUAGGUCAAGGGGAGCUUCUAGUAUAUGCUUUUGUCUAAUAGUAGUGUAACAUGUUUGUAGUUUUUAUUUUUAAAAGCAUUUUUGUAGCCAACGUUGAUCCUUGGGAACUCAUAAGGCUGUUCUCCACUCAAUGCUCAGUAUGAACCUGUUGUGAAAGAAGAUUAGGUAGAGGAGGGAGGGGUUAAAUUGAAUCCUCUGGCUGAGCUGUAACCUUUCAGUUGGACCCAAUGCUAGAAUCAACAAUUCCCUGCAUGGUUUGUUUCAUAGAAUCUUGUUCAAAGACCUCUACAGUGAAAAGAAAGCAGAGGCUGGACUGCUGGAAUCUAUUGAGAGGAGUCAGCGCACCCUGAAAUCAUACAUACUGUGCAUGCUCCAAUAGCUUGUUCUAGAAAGGCAAAGAGGAAGGGUAAUUGCCACACCUUAUACUGGUAAAUCCAGGCAACAUACUGGCCCUGGAUUCAAAUGUCCAUGUCUUGACAUCUGCAUGUUCCUUCCAACAGCAGAUCCUUACACUGCAUGACUAUCUCCAAAGCCCGGGAUAGCUUCAGAAAUAACCCAAUGACAAAAAGUGAGACAUUUGAUGCAUGACUAGCCUUUGGAUGUGUCUACUCUGAGGUUGCAGCCAUUGCUUUCUAGGUGAAGUUUUGACCCCUUAUUGUAGUACAUUCCCUCCUUGCUUCUCUGAAUGAAACAAAGUUUAAUGAAUUCAUCCUCUGAAAGCAACUGCUAACACUGUCUUUCCGCAGCACAGUAUGUCAGUGCUAAGGAGAUGUGCACUAUUAAAUAAUUAUGCAAUCAGUUAAAUGAUCGAUUGGUUGCUCUCAUUGCCACCAAAUGAUAUAAUUAUAGUAUAGCAACAAUCAUUCAAAAUAAAUUGAUUGCUUUUCAAGAUUAACUCAAGCGUUGUGUACCUGUAUUAUUAGAACAAACCUUGCUAAUUAUGUUCUGCUAGUGAUAGUAUCUGCUCUGCACUUUUCUGAAUAACCAUGUUAUACUUCAGUAUUUUAUAAUGUACACUACUGUGUCUACAAUGCUAAUAAAA